rnacentral:rRNA from 1 species
UACGUAGGGUGCAAGCGUUGAUCGGAAUUACUGGGCGUAAAGCGUGCGCAGGCGGUUGUGCAAGACAGAUGUGAAAUCCCCGGGCUCAACCUGGGAACUGCAUUUGUGACUGCACGGCUGGAGUGCGGCAGAGGGGGAUGGAAUUCCGCGUGUAGCAGUGAAAUGCGUAGAUAUGCGGAGGAACACCGAUGGCGAAGGCAAUCCCCUGGACCUGUACUGACGCUCAUGCACGAAAGCGUGGGGAGCAAACAGG